rnacentral:rRNA from 1 species
AGUGGCGGACGGGUGAGUAACGCGUGGGUAACCUGCCCUGUACCGGGGGACAACAGCCAGAAAUGGCUGCUAAUACCGCAUAAGCCUGCUGUGCCGCAUGGCACAGCAGGGAAAACCACGGUGGUACAGGAUGGGCCCGCGUCUGAUUAGUUAGUUGGCAGGGUAACGGCCUACCAAGACAACGAUCAGUAGCCGGCUUGAGAGAGUGGACGGCCACAUUGGGACUGAGACACGGCCCAAACUCCUACGGGAGGCAGCAGUAGGGAAUCUUCCACAAUGGACGAAAGUCUGAUGGAGCAACGCCGCGUGAGUGAAGAAGGGUUUCGGCUCGUAAAGCUCUGUUGGUAGUGAAGAAAGAUAGAGGUAGUAACUGGCCUUUAUUUGACGGUAAUUACUUAGAAAGUCACGGCUAACUACGUGCCAGCAGCCGCGGUAAUACGUAGGUGGCAAGCGUUGUCCGGAUUUAUUGGGCGUAAAGCGAGUGCAGGCGGUUCAAUAAGUCUGAUGUGAAAGCCUUCGGCUCAACCGGAGAAUUGCAUCAGAAACUGUUGAACUUGAGUGCAGAAGAGGAGAGUGGAACUCCAUGUGUAGCGGUGGAAUGCGUAGAUAUAUGGAAGAACACCAGUGGCGAAGGCGGCUCUCUGGUCUGCAACUGACGCUGAGGCUCGAAAGCAUGGGUAGCGAACAGGAUUAGAUACCCUGGUAGUCCAUGCCGUAAACGAUGAGUGCUAAGUGUUGGGAGGUUUCCGCCUCUCAGUGCUGCAGCUAACGCAUUAAGCACUCCGCCUGGGGAGUACGACCGCAAGGUUGAAACUCAAAGGAAUUGACGGGGGCCCGCACAAGCGGUGGAGCAUGUGGUUUAAUUCGAAGCAACGCGAAGAACCUUACCAGGUCUUGACAUCCAGUGCAAACCUAAGAGAUUAGGUGUUCCCUUCGGGGACGCUGAGACAGGUGGUGCAUGGCUGUCGUCAGCUCGUGUCGUGAGAUGUUGGGUUAAGUCCCGCAACGAGCGCAACCCUUGUCAUUAGUUGCCAUCAUUAAGUUGGGCACUCUAAUGAGACUGCCGGUGACAAACCGGAGGAAGGUGGGGAUGACGUCAAGUCAUCAUGCCCCUUAUGACCUGGGCUACACACGUGCUACAAUGGACGGUACAACGAGAAGCGAACCUGCGAAGGCAAGCGGAUCUCUUAAAGCCGUUCUCAGUUCGGACUGUAGGCUGCAACUCGCCAACACGAAGCUGGAAUCGCUAGUAAUCGCGGAUCAGCACACCGCGGUGAAUACGUUCCCGGGCCUUGCACACACCGCCCGUCA